GAUGAACGCUGGCGGCGUGCCUAAUACAUGCAAGUCGAGCGAACAGACGAGGAGCUCGCUCCUCUGACGUUAGCGGCGGACGGGUGAGUAACACGUGGAUAACCUACCUAUAAGACUGGGAUAACUUCGGGAAACCGGAGCUAAUACCGGAUAAUAUAUUGAACCGCAUGGUUCAAUAGUGAAAGACGGUUUUGCUGUCACUUAUAGAUGGAUCCGCGCCGCAUUAGCUAGUUGGUAAGGUAACGGCCUACCAAGGCAACGAUGCGUAGCCGACCUGAGAGGAUGAUCAGCCACACUGGAACUGAGACACGGUCCAGACUCCUACGGGAGGCAGCAGUGGGGAAUAUUCCACAAUGGGCGAAAGCCUGACGGAGCAACGCCGCGUGAGUGAUGAAGGUCUUCGGAUCGUAAAGCUCUGUUAUUAGGGAAGAACAAAUGUGUAAGUAACUAUGCACGUCUUGACGGUACCUAAUCAGAAAGCCACGGCUAACUACGUG
rnacentral:rRNA from 1 species